GGCCGCUUGCUGGAACCGGUAGACAGACCGGACUUAAAAUCCGUUGCCCUUUGGGCGUGUGGGUUCGACUCCCACAGCGGCCACCA
rnacentral:tRNA from 1 species